rnacentral:lncRNA from 1 species
CUGAAAUUCAGAUUGUGUCGUUGUGUAUGCCUCGUUGUCUUUUCUAAAUCUGUCUAUUAAAGCACAUACACUGGAGCACACCUACAAAACGGCCUUGAAUUUCCGCCAUCCUGGCGUCGAAAACAACGCCAGAGUUAUCGUUUCAGUCUUAUAGACAGUUCACCGUUCUAAAUAUAUGGACCCAAUUAUUCCCUAACUUCCAAGCGAGUCUUGUUUCACCAUAGUUCUAGUUUGUCCUCGGGAGCAGUAGCAGUACGGUUUAAGCCAUUUUGGAUCAACCAACACCUCCCCAUUAGGACCUUUAAAUAUAAUGCCACAACACACUUCCUCUCUCCUCCAGCCGGACAGGUCGAUAUAGGGAAAUUUCAUCUCAUUUUCCAAUACUUGCGGGUAAAAGAAAGAGGUCUGGCAGGCGGUGGAAGUACGACCGUUGUCAGCGAUGGCGGAAUCAGAGAUUUCGCUUGGUGUUGGACUGCAUGACGGAGGGCUACUCGAAUCACUGAAUCGAUGGCCU